GAAAAGGCUUGUUUUGUCAUAUUACCAGGGUUGUUUUUCUGGUUCUUUUUUGAGGGAGGAGAGAGACCCUCUCAUAUUGUUUUAUAUUGUUUUAUACUCAGUACCUGUUUUAAGAAAAACAACAAGGAAGUAAAACCAAAGACAGGCAGCCUGGCACCAGGCCUGAAACCAGGCCUGGGCCUGCCUCGCCUAAAUCCAGUAGUUAAAAAUCAAUUCAUAACUUAGAAACCGAUGUUAUUCAUAGAUUCCAGACAUUGUAUAGAAGAGCAUUGUGAAACUCCCUGCCCUGUUCUGUUUCUCUCUGACCACCCGUGCAUGCAGCCCCUGUCACGUACCGCCUGCUUGCUCAAAUCAAUCACGACCCUUUCAUGUGAAAUCUUUAGUGUUGUGAGCCCUUAAGAGGGACAGAAAUUGAGCAUUCGGGGAGCGCGGAUUUUGAGGCAGUAGCUUGCCGAUGCUCCCAGGUGAAUAAAGCCCUUCCUUCCAUAACUCGGUGCCUGAGAGGUUUUGUCUGCAGCUCGUCCUGCUACAUUCUCAUUUGGUCAUUGCAACAUCCAGAAUUUGCCACUCUCCUGCAUUAUGUAUUUUUCUUAAAGAAACACGAAAUGGGCCGGGCGCGGUGGCUCAUGCCUAUAAUCCCAGCACUUUGGGAGGCCAAGGCGGGCGGAUCACGACAUCAGGAGAUGGAGACCAUCCUGGCUAACACGGUGAAACCCCGUUUCUACUAAAAAUACAAAAAAAUUAGCCAGGCGUGGUGGCGGGCGCCUGUGGUCCCAGCUACUCUGGAGGCUGGGGCAGGAGAAUGGAGUGAACCCGGGCGGCGGAGCUUGCAGUGAGCCGAGAUCGCGCCACUGCGCUCCAGCCUGGGCGACAGAGCGAGACUCCGUCUCAAAACAAAAAACAUGAAAUGAUAUAUAUUUUGUUUUGUAAGCUAUGCUAAAUUUGAUUUUAAAAAAGUAGUCUGUUGUUUUAGCUUCAAAAUAUCAAUUUAUUUUGAUCUGGGCUGAUUGUAAACAUGCCAAUUUCAGAAUAAAUAUAUGCAUAUUUUAAUAUUUCCAUGAAAAUUAUAUUCUUGCAUCUUAAUAAUCGCCCCAAAAUUUGCAUGAAGGUCACAUUUUAUAAGUGUUAUGCUGCCUGCAAACUUUUAUUAUUUAAAAUAU
rnacentral:lncRNA from 10 species